rnacentral:rRNA from 1 species
AGCGAACGCUGGCGGCAGGCCUAACACAUGCAAGUCUAACGGGGUCCCUUCGGGAUCAGUGGCGGACGGGUGAGUAACACGUGGGAACGUGCCCAAACGGUACGGAACAACUCAGGGAAACUUGAGCUAAUACCGUAUGUGCCCUACGGGGAAAGGAUUUAUCGCCUUUGGAGCGGCCCGCGUCUGAUUAGCUAGUUGGUGAGGUAAAGGCUCACCAAGGCGACGAUCAGUAGCUGGUCUGAGAGGAUGAUCAGCCACAUUGGGACUGAGACACGGCCCAAACUCCUACGGGAGGCAG